rnacentral:rRNA from 1 species
ACGAACGCUGGCGGCGUGCCUAAUACAUGCAAGUCGAACGCUUCUUUUUCCACCGGAGCUUGCUCCACCGGAAAAAGAGGAGUGGCGAACGGGUGAGUAACACGUGGGUAACCUGCCCAUCAGAAGGGGAUAACACUUGGAAACAGGUGCUAAUACCGUAUAACAAUCGAAACCGCAUGGUUUUGAUUUGAAAGGCGCUUUCGGGUGUCGCUGAUGGAUGGACCCGCGGUGCAUUAGCUAGUUGGUGAGGUAACGGCUCACCAAGGCGACGAUGCAUAGCCGACCUGAGAGGGUGAUCGGCCACAUUGGGACUGAGACACGGCCCAAACUCCUACGGGAGGCAGCAGUAGGGAAUCUUCGGCAAUGGACGAAAGUCUGACCGAGCAACGCCGCGUGAGUGAAGAAGGUUUUCGGAUCGUAAAACUCUGUUGUUAGAGAAGAACAAGGAUGAGAGUAACUGUUCAUCCCUUGACGGUAUCUAACCAGAAAGCCACGGCUAACUACGUGCCAGCAGCCGCGGUAAUACGUAGGUGGCAAGCGUUGUCCGGAUUUAUUGGGCGUAAAGCGAGCGCAGGCGGUUUCUUAAGUCUGAUGUGAAAGCCCCCGGCUCAACCGGGGAGGGUCAUUGGAAACUGGGAGACUUGAGUGCAGAAGAGGAGAGUGGAAUUCCAUGUGUAGCGGUGAAAUGCGUAGAUAUAUGGAGGAACACCAGUGGCGAAGGCGGCUCUCUGGUCUGUAACUGACGCUGAGGCUCGAAAGCGUGGGGAGCAAACAGGAUUAGAUACCCUGGUAGUCCACGUCGUACACGAUGAGUGCUAAGCGUUGGACGCUUUCCGCCCUUCAGUGCUGCAGCUAACGCAUUAAGCACUCCGCCUGGGGAGUACGACCGCAAGGUUGAAACUCAAAGGAAUUGACGGGGGCCCGCACAAGCGGUGGAGCAUGUGGUUUAAUUCGACGCAACGCGAAGAACCUUACCAAGUCUUGACAUCCCUUGACGAACAUAGAAAUAUGUUUUCUCUUCGGAGCAAGGAGACAGGUGGUGCAUGGUUGUCGUCAGCUCGUGUCGUGAGAUGUUGGGUUAAGUCCCGCAACGAGCGCAACCCUUAUUGUUAGUUGCCAUCAUUUAGUUGGGCACUCUAGCAAGACUGCCGGUGACAAACCGGAGGAAGGUGGGGAUGACGUCAAAUCAUCAUGCCCCUUAUGACCUGGGCUACACACGUGCUACAAUGGGAAGUACAACGAGUCGCAAAGUCGCGAGGCUAAGCUAAUCUCUUAAAGCUUCUCUCAGUUCGGAUUGUAGGCUGCAACUCGCCUACAUGAAGCCGGAAUCGCUAGUAAUCGCGGAUCAGCACGCCGCGGUGAAUACGUUCCCGGGCCUUGUACACACCGCCCGUCACACCACGAGAGUUUGUAACACCCGAAGUCGGUGAGGUAACCUUUUGGAGCCAGCCGCCUAAGGUGGGAUAGAUGAUUGGGGUG